GAUGAAGAACGCAGCGAAAUGCGAUAAGUAAUGUGAAUUGCAGAAUCCAGUGAAUCAUCGAAUCUUUGAACGCACAUUGCGCCCGCCAGCAUUCUGGCGGGCAUGCCUGUUCGAGCGUCAUUUCAACCCUCGACCUCCCUUUGGGGAAGUCGGCGUUGGGGACCGGCAGCACACCGCCGGCCCUGAAAUGGAGUGGCGGCCCGUCCGCGGCGACCUCUGCGUAGUAAUCCAACUCGCACCGGAACCCCGACGCGGCCACGCCGUAAAACACCCAACUUCUGAACGUUGACCUCGAAUCAGGUAGGACAACCCGCUGAACUUAAGCAUAUCAAUAAGCGGAGGA
rnacentral:misc_RNA from 1 species